GGUAGCCUACGGGAGGCAGCAGUAGGGAAUCUUCCACAAUGGGCGCAAGCCUGAUGGAGCAACACCGCGUGAGUGAAGAAGGGUUUCGGCUCGUAAAGCUCUGUUGUUGGAGAAGAACGUGCGUGGGAGUAACUGUUCACGCAGUGACGGUAUCCAACUAGAAAGUCACGGCUAACUACGUGCCAGCAGCCGCGGUAAUAAGGAGGUGGCAAGCGUUGUCCGGAUUUAUUGGGCGUGAAGCGGGUGCAGGCGG
rnacentral:rRNA from 1 species